GAUGAACGCUGGCGGCGUGCCUAAUACAUGCAAGUCGAGCGAACGGACGAGAAGCUUGCUUUUCUGAUGUUAGCGGCGGACGGGUGGGUAACACGUGGAUAACCUACCUAUAAGACUGGGAUAACUUCGGGAAACCGGAGCUAAUACCGGAUAAUAUUUUUAACCGCAUGGUUCAUAAGUGAAAGACGGUCUUGCUGUCACUUAUAGAUGGAUCCGCGCUGCAUUAGCUAGUUGGUAAGGUAACGGCUUACCAAGGCAACGAUGCAUAGCCGACCUGAGAGGGUGAUCGGCCACACUGGAACUGAGACACGGUCCAGACUCCUACGGGAGGCAGCAGUAGGGAAUCUUCCGCAAUGGGCGAAAGCCUGACGGAGCAACGCCGCGUGAGUGAUGAAGGUCUUCGGAUCGUAAAACUCUGUUAUUAGGGAAGAACAUAUGUGUAAGUAACUGUGCACAUCUUGACGGUACCUAAUCAGAAAGCCACGGCUAACUACGUG
rnacentral:rRNA from 1 species